AAACGCUUGAAGUCGGACGUGCAGGGCAACUUGCAGGCCAACAUCGGUUUCAUUAGCCGGAUAAAGGCAGAGGAAUGUGGCAGCUCCGGCUGUGUUAUAGCCUUUGACUGAAUACGGAUAGAGAGACCGAGGACCGCAGCUUACGCUUAGGAUGUUGGUGGAACGGCUUUAAACGA
rnacentral:rRNA from 1 species